AGGACGAACGCUGGCGGCGUGCUUAACACAUGCAAGUCGAGCGAUGCCCAUCUUUCGGGGUGGUGCCAUAGCGGCGAACGGGUGAGUAACACGUGGGCAAUCUGCCCCUAGCUCUGGGAUAACUCCGGGAAACCGGGGCUAAUACUGGAUAUGACCUUUCCUCGCAUGGGGUUGGGUGUAAAGGGUUUCUGGCUAGGGAUGGGCCCGCGGCCUAUCAGCUUGUUGGUGGGGUAAUGGCCUACCAAGGCGACGACGGGUAGCCGGCCUGAGAGGGCGACCGGCCACACUGGGACUGAGACACGGCCCAGACUCCUACGGGAGGCAGCAGUGGGGAAUCUUGCACAAUGGGCGAAAGCCUGAUGCAGCGACGCCGCGUGAGGGAUGACGGCCUUCGGGUUGUAACCUCUUCAGCAGGGACGAAGCGCAAGUGACGGUACCUGCAGAAGAAGCACCGGCCAACUACGCGCCAGCAGCCGC
rnacentral:rRNA from 1 species